rnacentral:snRNA from 1 species
UUCAUGGACUUUUUCUUCACA